GCCUAAAGCGUCCGUAGCCUGUUCUAUAAGUUUCCGGUUAAAUCCACUAGCUCAACUAGUGGGCUGCCGAAAAUACUGUAGAACUAGGGAGUGGGAGAGGUAGACGGUAUUCGGUAGGAAGGGGUAAAAUCCUUUGAUCUAUUGAGGACCACCUGUGGCGAAGGCGGUCUACCAGAACACGUUCGACGGUGAGGGAUGAAAGCUGGGGGAGCAAACCGGAUUAGAUACCCGGGUAGUCCCAGCCGUAAACGAUGCAGACUCGGUGAUGCGCUGGCUUGUGGCCAGUGCAGUGCCGCAGGGAGGCCGUUAAGUUUGCCGCCUGGGAAGUACGUACGCAAGUAUGAAACUUAAAGGAAUUGGCGGGGGAGCACCACAAGGGGUGAAGCCUGCGGUUCAAUUGGAGUCAACGCCAGAAAUCUUACCCGAAGAGACAGCAGAAUGAAGGUCAAGCUGGAGACUUUACCAGACAAGCUGAGAAGUGGUGCAUGGCCGUCGCCAGCUCGUGCCGUGAGAUGUCCUGUUAAGUCAGGUAACGAGCGAGAUCCCUGCCUCUAGUUGCCACCAUUACUCUCAGGAGUAGUGGGGCGAAUUAGCGGGACCGCCGCAGUUAAUGCGGAGGAAGGAAGGGGCCACGGCAGGUCAGUAUGCCCCGAA
rnacentral:rRNA from 1 species